AUUGAACGCUGGCGGAAUGCUUUACACAUGCAAGUCGAACGGCAGCACGGACUUCGGUCUGGUGGCGAGUGGCGAACGGGUGAGUAAUGUAUCGGAACGUGCCCAGUCGUGGGGGAUAACGUAGUGAAAAUUACGCUAAUACCGCAUACGAUCUAUGGAUGAAAGCGGGGGAUCGCAAGACCUCGCGCGAUUGGAGCGGCCGAUAUCAGAUUAGGUAGUUGGUGGGGUAAAGGCCCACCAAGCCAACGAUCUGUAGCUGGUCUGAGAGGACGACCAGCCACACUGGAACUGAGACACGGUCCAGACUCCUACGGGAGGCAGCAGUGGGGAAUUUUGGACAACGGGCGAAAGCCUGAUCCAGCCAUUCCGCGUGCAGGAUGAAGGCCCUCGGGCUGUAAACUGCUUUUGUACAGAACGAAAAGGUUUCUACUAAUACUAGGAGCUCAUGACGGUACUGUAAGAAUAAGCACCGGCUAACUACGUGCCAGCCGCCGCAGUAA
rnacentral:rRNA from 1 species